UACAGAGGUCUCAAGCGUUGUUCGGAUUCAUUGGGCGUAAAGGGUGCGUAGGCGGCGCGGUAAGUCGGGUGUGAAAUCUCGGGGCUUAACUCCGAAACUGCAUUCGAUACUGCCGUGCUUGAGGACUGGAGAGGAGACUGGAAUUCCCGGUGUAGUGGUGAUAUGCGUAGAUAUCGGGAGGAAGACCAGUGGCGAAGGCGGGUCUCUGGACAGUUCCUGACGCUGAGGCACGAAGGUCAGGGGAGCAAACGGG
rnacentral:rRNA from 1 species